rnacentral:rRNA from 1 species
CCUACGGGAGGCAGCAGUGAGGAAUAUUGGUCAAUGGAGGCAACUCUGAACCAGCCAAGUCGCGUGAAGGAUGACUGCCCUACGGGUUGUAAACUUCUUUUUUAAGGGAAUAAAGUGAGCCACGUGUGGCUUUUUGCAUGUACCUUACGAAUAAGGAUCGGCUAACUCCGUGCCAGCAGCCGCGGUAAUACGGAGGAUCCGAGCGUUAUCCGGAUUUAUUGGGUUUAAAGGGUGCGCAGGCGGGAUAUUAAGUCGGCGGUGAAAGUUUGCAGCUUAACUGUAAAAUUGCCGUUGAUACUGGUAUUCUUGAGUGUAUAUGAAGUAGGCGGAAUUUGUAGUGUAGCGGUGAAAUGCAUAGAUAUUACAAGGAACUCCGAUUGCGAAGGCAGCUUACUAAAAUACAACUGACGCUUAGGCACGAAGGCGUGGGGAUCAAACAGGAUUAGAUACCCUGGUAGUCCACGCAGUAAACGAUGAUUACUCGCUGUUUGCGAUACACAGUAAGCGGCUUAGCGAAAGCGUUAAGUAAUCCACCUGGGGAGUACGUUCGCAAGAAUGAAACUCAAAGGAAUUGACGG